AGAGUUUGAUCCUGGCUCAGGACGAACGCUGGCGGCGUGCCUAAUACAUGCAAGUCGAACGCUUCUUUUUCCACCGGAGCUUGCUCCACCGGAAAAAGAGGAGUGGCGAACGGGUGAGUAACACGUGGGUAACCUGCCCAUCAGAAGGGGAUAACACUUGGAAACAGGUGCUAAUACCGUAUAACAAUCGAAACCGCAUGGUUUUGAUUUGAAAGGCGCUUUCGGGUGUCGCUGAUGGAUGGACCCGCGGUGCAUUAGCUAGUUGGUGAGGUAACGGCUCACCAAGGCGACGAUGCAUAGCCGACCUGAGAGGGUGAUCGGCCACAUUGGGACUGAGACACGGCCCAAACUCCUACGGGAGGCAGCAGUAGGGAAUCUUCGGCAAUGGACGAAAGUCUGACCGAGCAACGCCGCGUGAGUGAAGAAGGUUUUCGGAUCGUAAAACUCUGUUGUUAGAGAAGAACAAGGAUGAGAGUAACUGUUCAUCCCUUGACGGUAUCUAACCAGAAAGCCACGGCUAACUACGUGCCAGCAGCCGCGGUAAUACGUAGGUGGCAAGCGUUGUCCGGAUUUAUUGGGCGUAAAGCGAGCGCAGGCGGUUUCUUAAGUCUGAUGUGAAAGCCCCCGGCUCAACCGGGGAGGGUCAUUGGAAACUGGGAGACUUGAGUGCAGAAGAGGAGAGUGGAAUUCCAUGUGUAGCGGUGAAAUGCGUAGAUAUAUGGAGGAACACCAGUGGCGAAGGCGGCUCUCUGGUCUGUAACUGACGCUGAGGCUCGAAAGCGUGGGGAGCAAACAGGAUUAGAUACCCUGGUAGUCCACGCCGUAAACGAUGAGUGCUAAGUGUUGGAGGGUUUCCGCCCUUCAGUGCUGCAGCUAACGCAUUAAGCACUCCGCCUGGGGAGUACAACCGCAAGGUUGAAACUCAAAGGAAUUGACGGGGGCCCGCACAAGCGGUGGAGCAUGUGGUUUAAUUCGAAGCAACGCGAAGAACCUUACCAGGUCUUGACAUCCUUUGACCACUCUAGAGAUAGAGCUUCCCCUUCGGGGGCAAAGUGACAGGUGGUGCAUGGUUGUCGUCAGCUCGUGUCGUGAGAUGUUGGGUUAAGUCCCGCAACGAGCGCAACCCUUAUUGUUAGUUGCCAUCAUUUAGUUGGGCACUCUAGCAAGACUGCCGGUGACAAACCGGAGGAAGGUGGGGAUGACGUCAAAUCAUCAUGCCCCUUAUGACCUGGGCUACACACGUGCUACAAUGGGAAGUACAACGAGUCGCAAAGUCGCGAGGCUAAGCUAAUCUCUUAAAGCUUCUCUCAGUUCGGAUUGUAGGCUGCAACUCGCCUACAUGAAGCCGGAAUCGCUAGUAAUCGCGGAUCAGCUCGCCGCGGUGAAUACGUUCCCGGGCCUUGCACAC
rnacentral:rRNA from 1 species